rnacentral:rRNA from 1 species
UACGCAGGGGGCUAGCGUUGUUCGGAAUUACUGGGCGUAAAGGGCUCGUAGGUGGCCAACUAAGUCAGACGUGAAAUCCCUCGGCUUAACCGGGGAACUGCGUCUGAUACUGGAUGGCUUGAGUUCGGGAGAGGGAUGCGGAAUUCCAGGUGUAGCGGUGAAAUGCGUAGAUAUCUGGAGGAACACCGGUGGCGAAGGCGGCAUCCUGGACCGACACUGACGCUGAGGAGCGAAAGCCAGGGGAGCAAACGGG